rnacentral:misc_RNA from 1 species
GCUAAACAAUACUUUGCACAAUAAGACUUGCAUUACCGGCCGCAUAAAAUAUUUGCUGCUAUGAAGAGAGAAGAGAGAAAAAUUCUAAGACUUUCAGGUGGACCACCUUCGGAGUAUUAAUAGUUAUACUGAAACUAUAUACGGCUAUAUAACAAGAGUCUGGCAACUAACCAGUUCGGCUGACCCAACGGUUCGAGUGGCUAUAACCUUUGUAAAAUUUUCAGAUUCUUCUUCUAAUUCCCG